AGGCACAGUUAAAACGUCAAUCAUCACAAGAUCAAACUUCAGUACCAGAGUAACCCUAAAUCAUCCUGAUUUGUCAAAAGACUACAUAGAACAGUCUAGAGGUGGAAACUGAUAGAUCAUUUGAAGAGGAUCCUGUUAAAGCAGUCAUAAAUAUGCUUCACAAAACAAUGAACACCUUGUUACAGCAUAUCUUGAACAGCCUAGAACAGAGAACAGUCUGGAGGCGGAAACUGGUGAAUCACUUGAAGAGGAAAUUGUUAAAGCACAGAGACGUGUACCAAGGAACAACAAGACAUGAUUGUUGCAGCAUAUCUUG